CAAGGGAUUCUGGGGAUUGUGGUUUCCGAACGGAUCGAGACUGACACCUCAAGGACGCGGCUUAGGCGCUUAGCCCCUAGCUGGUCCUGCGGGGCUUACCGACGUCACCUGAGCAGAGGUGGAAGACCGGAGGUGAUCGGGAAAUUUUUGCUGGCAGUUGGUGCCAGGCCACACCCGAAAGCCAACCCUAACAUAAAUAAACCCAGAGCCCUUCCUCCUCCAACUUCAAAAGCUGCUUUUGCUCCCAGACGUUACUGAGAACCGGCUCACGGGUCAGCUCUGAGCUAGGCGCUGUGAGAACGCUUAAUAAGACCGUAACUUUUCAGGAAGUCUACAGGCGAGACUCAAACUGAGAAACUUAAAGGGUGUGUGUGCGGGGCAAAUCGUAGGGUACCAGGAGACCCAAACCCCAAACUUUGGGGCUCGUCUGUCGGUGACCUUUUCCACCUUUUCUGAUGCUGUGGCUGUGCUGACCUUUGUUAAGCCACUCCCACACAAGAACUCUAGGGUGACCUUCUGCUAUUUGUUUUCACUUCAAGAUUCCCCUUUUGAUGCUUAUUUUAUCCUGAUACCGCCCGGGUGCCGAGAGUGGAGGUGGACGAUGUGAUUUGCAUCUGCAAAAUGCAGAAGAUUUGGGUCCCCUCUUGGAACCUUCUUCCAUCCCUAGAUUUCCUGAUAGAUGAUGCUGAAGAUGGAGGAACUGAAGCAUAGAGAUAAGUGACUUGCCCAAAGUCACACAGAUAGUAACUGGAAAAACCAGGACUCAAAUCCAAGCAUCUUAGCUUCAGAACUCAGUGCUUAACUAGCUACACCAAACUGCCUCCUCAAGAUGUAAGCACUGGGAAAAAUUGUUCAAUACAUACACGGAACGGACUUGAAGAAGUCUUCUUUUGGCAACAUCACUUAUUUCUUUGCAUGACUGAAAUAUAAGCCAAAGAAACAAACAAAGACACACAAAAACAAAGGGAUCUAGUCUCAAAAAUUACUGUUAACAAUAUAUCAACUUUAACUUGAUUGAUCCUUUUAAAGUUCUAUCAAAGGCAAAAAAAAAAAAAAAAAAAGAAAACUACCACUUGCAGAAAUUUAUUACCCAGUCAUUAGAGCCAUUCACUUCCUCAGUUUCUGGGAAAUAUAUAAAAAAGGUCUUACCAAAAUUUAACAUAUCAUUGCUAUUCCUUUCCUUAGUGGCACCUUUUUCAACCCAAUAUUUCCAAAAAGGGUUGAGGUAGAAAGAUGGCACAGUAGAAGGACAUGCUCUCACUCCCUCUUGUGAGAACACUGGAAUCACAACUAGCAGCUGGACAAUCAUCGACAGGAAGACACUGAAACUCACCAAAAAAUAUAUCCCACAUCCAAAGAAAAAGAAGAAGCCACAAUGAAAUGGGGCUUCCCUGGUGACGCAGUGGUUAAGAAUCCGCCUGCCAAUGCAGGAGACAUGGGUCGAGUCCUGGUCCGGGAAGAUCCCACAUGCCGCGGAGCGGUGCGCCACAGCUACUGAGCCUGCGCUCUAGAGCCUGCGAGCCACAACUACUGAAGCCUGCGCCUAGAGCCCGUGCUCCCCAGUAAGAGAAGCCACCGCAAUGAGAAGCCCGCGCAUGGCAACAAAGAGUAACCCCGCUUGCUGCAACAAGAGAAAGCCGGCGCACAGCAAAGAUCGAAUGCAGCCAAAAAUAAAUUAA